GCGGGCGUGGUGGAAUGGUAGACGCGCCGGACUCAAAAUCCGGUUCCGCAAGGAGUGUGGGUUCGAGUCCCACCGCCCGCACCA
rnacentral:tRNA from 5 species